rnacentral:lncRNA from 1 species
AUGAUUGACCAGAUCAUCUAUCUUCAGGCUAACUUGUCAUCUGUCCCAUGGGAGGGCAGAGCAGCAGGAGCAAUGCUGCCCACAGCACCUCCUAAACCUCUUUACUACCAUGUCCUCUACCGAGGACAUGGAGAAACCCAGGUGAGCUGGCAUGGAGAAACCUACUGCCUGGUUGGUGGCUACAGGGCCUAUGGGGAUGCUGCCAUCCCCACCCCAGCAAAAUCCACUCCAGAGAAGUCAGCAUCCCUGAGGGCCUAUGGAGAUGCUUCCACUGCCACUGCUACAAAGGCCAAAGCUGAACAGCCAUCAUGCAAGCGGGCUCUCAAGAGACCUCAACACAUGGGAGAAUAUAAUGAACACUUAGGGUACCCCAGGCCCAAAAUGCGUUGCUUGAACAAUGGCAACAAGGACCAACAACACAUUGUUGGUUGAGCCAUGCCAUUAAGACUUAGUCUAGUAGAGGCCUAGUCUACCAGAUGGACUCCUGACUCCAUCAUAAGCAGCAAUCACCAGCAUAAACAAGGAUAAUAUGGCUUUCUUAAAUUGUGCUCUCAGAAAUACCCGCCAAGACUUCCAUCUCCUUUCUUCCCUGCCCUUAAUAUCCCCUGAGGGCUUCUCAUUGUUGAAUAAAAUUAUUUUCUGUAACAGUUUUUGACUGGAAAUUCAACUUGUCCAAGGCCAUUCUCAAACUUUUCAGUUCCCUUAUGUGCACUCAUACAAGAGACCUGUUCUUCUAAGGAUUUCUGACUUCAGUUGGGAUCCAUGGUUAUAGUUUCUAAUGGUGUGAUCUCUGCAAUGAUGCCUAGAAGACUUGUACCAAGUCCCAGGCCAGUUCUUGAAGAAAUGGGGAGCCUCGGGUGGGGUUGUAUCUCAGUGGGAAAGCAUGUGCUUAGCAUGUGUGAGGACCUGCAUUCAAUGCUCAGCACCAAAAAAGUAAAAAUAAACAGGAGCCUGUUGGGUGGUUCUCUGUGUGUAUGAGUGUGUGUGUGUGUGUGUGUGUGUGUGUGAGUGAGUGUGAUAAAACAACAAAAAAGAGGAGCAGAGCUGAGAAAAUGUUGAAACAUCCAUCAGUCUACACAUCUAAAUCAGACAUUGUGCUAGCUGCUUGGGACAUAUUCGUCAAUGAGAUAGUCAAGGUCCCACUCUAUAAGCACAAAAUAACUCAAAGCUGAGACAAACAAUACAACAUCAGGAUCUGUGAUUAUAGUUCAGUGGUAAAUUUCCUAGCAAAUGAAAGGCCUUGGAUUCAAUCCCCAGCAGUACCAAAAAAAAAUUUUUUUUAAAUUGGGCUGGGGAUUUAGCUCAGUGGUUCCACCGCCUGCCUCUCAAGUGCAAGGUCCCGAGGUCCAUCCCUGGUACCAAAAAAAUAAAAUAAAAUAAAUAAAAUUAUUAUACUCACUAUUAAAAAAAACAAAAUAUUACAAGGCAAGACUGAUGAAGGAUGCCUUGUUACACCAAGCAAUCACGGGAGCUUAUUUGAAAAGAUUUUCAGCAGAGAGAGUGAGGAGGACCUAUGACAGCUGAUAGAUUUUCCUCCAAUUUAGGGUGGCUGCUGUAUACAAUAGCUACCUUCUUUCCAACACGCCCCUACUCCCACCAAAAGAGUAACCUAAUACUUGCUCUCCUUCUAGCAACUCGUGACGUCACAGGCUCCUCCAGUCCCUAGCCACUACCUCACUCAACCCCACCUCAGCUCCUACAACCCCCUAUAAAAGGCACUUGCUGUCCUGGCCAUAUUGCUUUUGUCUCUCCUUUGUUCAUAGACAGCCCGGCAAAUCUGUUCCCCUAAUAAAGGCUUGUUGUGGCCUGGUCUGGUCUUGGUUUUCAGCCCUUUUACCUGACAAUAGUGAUGGCAAAACUUUUAGUUUUGUGCCUAAACUGCAAUCCAAAAUCCAUUUAUUUAUUGUAAAAUGCCAACACUGUAAUUAAACCUGAAUACUGAGGUUUUAGUUUAGAAAAAAACAACUGUUUUCCAGUGCUCAGCUGCUAAGGCAACUUGGAUCACAUGCUGACAGAUAUGACACAUGCCAUAGGUUUACCAACACUGGCAUAUAGGAGCUAGAGCACACCACUCCUAAAAGAAAUACAUGUGUGAACACCCUGAGGUAGAGCCAAGCAUAGUGGCUGUAUCAAUCCCUGAGACACAGUACCCAACACCUGAAAAUAAAUGUGUAGAAUUUUGUUUUGGUUCACUGUUUCAGUAGGGUCAGUUCAGUGUUAGCAGGCUUCAGAGCAUGGUGCAAGAGUAUGGAGGACCUCUAACAUGGCUGACUAGAGGAGGGGUCAUGUCAGAGAUACUCAGAGACGAUUUAUUGAAAUCUGAAGUGGAGGAGGGAGUUACAAUCUGAAACGGAAAAUUAAUCUGAAAGAAGAUAUAUCUAGAUCAACUCUAAUACCUGGAUAUUUUAAAGGAGGAAGUGUCUCCACCAUAGCUCAUACACACACCUCCACCCCCACUCCUGUGGAGAGAAGCCAUCUUGAAAGUGUGAGACCAAAGCAACUCCAUUUUGCUAAAAUCCACUAUUCCCCUAGUCUCUCACAAAUUAAUGGUUAAAAUGUGCAUGCUCUGGGACAAAAGACACAAU